AGUCUAAUAUUCUAAUUAAUGAUAUUAAAUUGCAAAUUUAAUGGUAGAAAUUCAAUUUCUUUAGGCUU
rnacentral:tRNA from 1 species